GGUCCGAUGCCACGUCGCUGGUAGCUAUAUAGCGGUGACCAUUGAUGCUAUGAUUGGACCAAAAACAAGAGUGAUAUUCAUUUGUUUCGCAUCCUGAUAGAGGAACCUGCGGAUCUCAUAUAUACCAUGAUCUGUGGAGCCGAUUUAUGCGAUUACAUUU